UGGGGAAUUUUGGACAAUGGGCGAAAGCCUGAUCCAGCAAUGCCGCGUGUGUGAAGAAGGCCUUCGGGUUGUAAAGCACUUUUGUCCGGAAAGAAAUCCUUGGCUCUAAUACAGUCGGGGGAUGACGGUACCGGAAGAAUAAGCACCGGCUAACUACGUGCCAGCAGCCGCGGUAAUACGUAGGGUGCAAGCGUUAAUCGGAAUUACUGGGCGUAAAGCGUGCGCAGGCGGUUUGCUAAGACCGAUGUGAAAUCCCCGGGCUCAACCUGGGAACUGCAUUGGUGACUGGCAGGCUAGAGUAUGGCAGAGGGGGGUAGAAUUCCACGUGUAGCAGUGAAAUGCGUAGAGAUGUGGAGGAAUACCGAUGGCGAAGGCAGCCCCCUGGGCCAAUACUGACGCUCAUGCACGAAAGCGUGGGGAGCAAACAGGAUUAGAUACCCUGGUAGUCCACGCCCUAAAACGAUGUCAACUAGUUGUUGGGGAUUCAUUUCCUUAGUAACGUAGCUAACGCGUGAAGUUGACCGCCUGGAGAGUACGGUCGCAAGAUUAAAACUUAAAUGAAUUGACGGGGUCAUAGCUG
rnacentral:rRNA from 1 species